GACAGAGGUGGCAAGCGUUGUUCGGAAUUACUGGGCUUAAAGGGCGAGUAGGCGGUGAGACCAGUCCGAGGUGGAAUCCUCUGGCUUAACCAGAGAACUGCCUUAGAUACUGUUUCACUUGAGUCAGUGAGGGGAGGGCGGAAUUCCCGGUGUAGCGGUGAAAUGCGUAGAUAUCGGGAGGAAGGCCAGUGGCGAAGGCGGCCCUCUGGCGCUGAACUGACGCUGAGGCGCGAAAGCGUGGGUAGCAAACAGG
rnacentral:rRNA from 1 species